AUGAUAAAGAAAAAAUGAGGAAAUGCUGUGAAGAACUAAUAGAACGUUUCAGAAGCAGAACAAGUCGAGAGCAGUGAUGACCCUUUUGUUCCUGCUAGUACCUCCUGUCUGUCUGGCCGAACUCACCAUCAGAUGAUGUCUUGAACCUCACCUAGAUGGGCUGGUGGUGUGUGGCCAGGUUAAGAGCACCAACAGGAGUAAGAAAGUGACCUGCCUGGUUUUACCGUGUGUACUAGGGGAGGGGUUGAAAGCUUUCGGUUGAUACAUCACCUCUGGGAGUUGAAGAAGAAUGCAAUUAAGAGAGCUAAAGAAGUCAGUAUAGAAUCUGAAACUCAGAGGUCAACUGAUGUGUCAAAGAUACCUCCACAAAUCAGUACCUUGAUUAAAACUAAAAUUGGAGUCAUCUUCAUAUCUCCAUCUUUCUCCCUCUUCAUUAGGACCGAUUGUAGUCUGUUUCCCUCUCACUCACUUGCAAUCUUUAUUGCUUUAGUGUUGCAUUUGAUUUUUAUCUUUGUUUUUGUUUUAAAUACUGUCAUUAAAGUCAUAGAAAAAUCUAAAAUAAAACUGGUUGAAUAAAAAUUUUAAAAUCGACUCUAAUGUAAUAAACCAGACAAAAAUGAUACUUUAAAUGUUAUAUCUUCCCUUUAAACUACAAAUAUUCAUUGAGUGUAUACCCUGUAUUAGGCUGUUGGAAUAAAACAGGGAAGAAGACAGAAGAAACUGCACCGCCAUCUUAGAUCUUGCAGCCAAAUUCCUCUGAACUUUUCUCUAAAGACGUGCUCUGGAAAAAUGUUGAUCAUUUUCCUACAUCAUGGAGGUCUUUUCAUGACCACCUUUGUCUAGACAAUGUCCUGUUUUUAGGUGCACGUUUGAGGGCUGGAGUCUCUGACCCACAGUGCUGCAGCCUGCACGUGGUUUGUCCUGACUUCUUUGCUACUUCACUUUUCGUAAGGCUCUGAGAGUGCAG
rnacentral:lncRNA from 1 species